rnacentral:tRNA from 1 species
AUUGGAGGUUCAGUGGUAGAAUUCUUGCCUUCCAUGCAGGAGACCUGGGUUCAAUUCCCAGCCAAU